UACGGAGGGUGCAAACGUUGCUCGGAAUUAUUGGGCGUAAAGCGUACGUAGGCGGUCCAGCAAGUCGGGUGUGAAAGCCCUUGGCUUAACCAAGGAAGUGCAUUCGAAACUACUGGACUUGAAUACUGGAGAGGAUCGCGGAAUUCCCGGUGUAGAGGUGAAAUUCGUAGAUAUCGGGAGGAACACCAGUGGCGAAGGCGACUUACUGGACGAUUGUUGACGCUGAGGUGCGAAAGCGUGGGGAGCAAACAGG
rnacentral:rRNA from 1 species